rnacentral:rRNA from 1 species
AGGAUGAACGCUGGCGGCGUGCCUAACACAUGCAAGUCGAACGUCCUGUCUCGCAAGAGGCAGGGAGUGGCGGACGGGUGAGUACCACGUGGGUUAUCUACCGUGAGGUGAGGAAUACCGGCGAGAAAUCGCCGACAAGACCGCAUAGCCUCGGUGCAAGCCGAGGAAAGCUUUCUCGAGAGAGGGAGCGCCACACGAGGAGCCUGCGCCCGAUUAGCUAGCUGGUGGAGUAACGGUUCACCAGGGCGACGAUCGGUAGCUGGUCUGAGAGGACGAUCAGCCACACUGGGAUUGAGAACGGCCCAGACUCCUACGGGGGGCAGCAGUGAGGAAUUUUCGUCAAUGGGGGCAACCCUGAACGAGCAACGCCGCGUGCAGGAAGAAGGUUUUCGGAUCGUAAACUGCUUUUCUCGGGGAAGAGAACGGACGGUACCCGAGGAAUCAGCCCCGGCUAACUACGUGCCAGCAGCCGCGGU